UUUCUUUCUUUCUUUGUAAUUACCCACCUACCUAUCUCCAUCUAUUGAAUUUUCGUUAAAAUAAUACAUGCAAAUGAUUAAAGACUCUUGAGAGUCCCUUGGACUGCAAGAUCAAACCGGUGAAUCCUAAAGGAAACAAACCCUGAAUAUUUAUUGGAAGGGCUGAUGCUGAAGCUCCAAUACUUAGGCCACCUGAUGUAAAGAGCUGAUUCACCGGAAAACAUCCUGAUGCUGGGAAACAUAGAAGGCAGGAGGAGAAGGGGAUGACAGAGGACGAGAUGAUUGGAUGGCAUCACUGACACAGUGGAGAUGAGUUUGAGCAAGCUCUGGGUGAUGGUGAAGGACAGGGAAGCCUGGGGUGCUGCAGUCCAUGGGGUCACACAGAGUCGGACAUGACUGAGUGACUGAACAAAAACGAAGUGCUUAUGAUAUAAAGCAACUUCCCCAAAGUCCUCAUUUCUAGUUCUGCACUGUGAAAGUGAAAGAAAGUGAAAGUGGAGUCGCUCAGUCGUGUCCAACUCUUUGCGACCCCGUGGACUGUAGCCUAUCAGGCUCCUCUGUCUGUGAGAUUCUCCAGGCAAGAAUACUGGAGUGGGUUGUCAUUUCCUUCUCCAGGGGAUCUUCCCAACCCAGGGGUCGAACCCGGGUCUGCUGUAUUGCAGGCAGAUGCUUUAUCCUCUGAGCCGCCAGGAAAGCCGAGCCGCGCUGUGAGUUCUCUGGAUUCCGGAGAGGGGAGACUGCCUGCUUCAGGAAGCAAAAAAAAGAAAGAAAGAAAGAAAGAAAGAAACCUGCUUUGCUCAGUUAAACUGUACUCUUUGAAUAUUUUAACAGACUUAAACAUAUCAUUUUAGGGAACACAUUUCAGCCCAUAACAGGAAAAGUCUCAUCAAUCUUACUCCACGUGCUUUAAAUUUUCACAGAGUUUAUUCAGGUUGUGUCAUCAUGCUGUCUGUCCCUUUUAAUUUUUCACUUUAUAGAUUUUGUCUUUUCUGGAAUCUUUAUGACGAUUUAAGUGAAAACUGGGAAGAGGUUUCCUGGAGUUGGUAUCCAGAUGCCGUUUUUAACCAUGUUGCUGUUCUGUUCUUUUGAAUGUACUAAUGUAUUUCAUGGCUAUUUGGCAGUUUCUCCUAAUAUUUUUAGGAAAAUGUUUAGAGGAUAAAUGGAAGUCAGAUAAGUAAAAGUUGAGAAGUGAGUUGGAUUUUCAUUGUGUCACUGUAGAAUCUCAAAUCUCUUGAUAAAUCCCUUACUCCAUAUAUUUCCUAGUUGUUCUCCUUCUCAUAUCAAACCCUGACCGAAGCAGUUUGACAGAGGAAACAGCAGUUCAGGCUCUGAAAAUCAGCUAGAUUUUUUAUUUUUAUAUCCAACCCAUCAAAAAAGUGAAUCAUGUAUGAUUUUGAAGGACAAUUUGAUGUAUCACAGAAAAUGAUAAACCAUCAAAAUUGUUGUAUUCCAAAGCUGUGUUCUGGCUGGCUUUUUCUGGGUAGUUAUUUCUCUUCUGUAUUUGACCUAAUAAAGUCAGGGAUUUACUUCAACUAAUCCAUUUGUCAUGGCCUAUAAAUCUGUUCUGUUUUUGUUGCAGAUACCAUGUAACUAAGUAAUGAUUAAUAAAGAUAUUCAAAUGGACAUCAGCUCUCUUAGUGACCUACAGUUUAUUAAUACGUGAACACAUAUACCUGCUUUUUAUUCAAAGACAUUGCCUCUAUUAAGGACUAAAGUGUAAUUUUAAAC
rnacentral:lncRNA from 1 species